rnacentral:misc_RNA from 1 species
AGCAGCCGCGGUAAUUCCAGCUCCAAUAGCGUAUAUUAAAGUUGUUGCAGUUAAAAAGCUCGUAGUUGAAUUUCGGGGUUAGUAGGUUGGUCAUGCCUCUGGUAUGUACUGGUCUCACUGAUUCCUCCUUCCUGAUGAGCCGUAAUGCCAUUAAUUUGGUGUUGCGGGGAAUUUGGACUGUUACUUUGAAAAAUUAGAGUGUUUAAAGCAAGCUAACGCUUGAAUACAUUAGCAUGGAAUAAUGAAAUAGGACGUUCGGUCCUAUUUUGUUGGUUUCUAGGAUUGACGUAAUGAUUAAUAGGGAUAGUUGGGGGCAUUAGUAUUCAAUUGUCAGAGGUGAAAUUCUUGGAUUUAUUGAAGACUAACUACUGCGAAAGCAUUUGCCAAGGAUGUUUUCAUUAAUCAAGAACGAAAGUUAGGGGAUCGAAGACGAUCAGAUACCGUCGUAGUCUUAACCAUAAACUAUGCCGACUAGGGAUCGGAUGAUGUUAAUUUUUUAAUGACUCAUUCGGCGCCUUAA